rnacentral:rRNA from 1 species
AACGAACGCUGGCGGCAUGCCUAACACAUGCAAGUCGAACGAGACCUUCGGGUCUAGUGGCGCACGGGUGCGUAACGCGUGGGAAUCUGCCCUUGGGUUCGGAAUAACAGUUAGAAAUGACUGCUAAUACCGGAUGAUGACUUCGGACCAAAGGUUUAUCGCCCAAGGAUGAGCCCGCGUAGGAUUAGCUAGUUGGUAGGGUAAAGGCCUACCAAGGCGACGAUCCUUAGCUGGUCUGAGAGGAUGAUCAGCCACACUGGGACUGAGACACGGCCCAGACUCCUACGGGAGGCAGCAGUGGGGAAUAUUGGACAAUGGGCGAAAGCCUGAUCCAGCAAUGCCGCGUGAGUGAUGAAGGCCCUAGGGUUGUAAAGCUCUUUUACCCGGGAUGAUAAUGACAGUACCGGGAGAACAAGCCCCGGCUAACUCCGUGCCAGCCGCCGCCGUAACAC